rnacentral:rRNA from 1 species
AUGAAAGGAUGGAAGCCCAAGCUUCUGGCCCCUGCUGGAAGACUAGCCUUGACGAGUUCGGUGCUUAUGUCCCUACCGAUUCACUUUCUGACUUUCUUUGCGCUUCCGGUCUGGGCGCUCAAGAUCAUAGACAGGAGAUGCAGAGGCUUUGUGUGGAAAGGAGAGGAGGAUAUCAAUGGUGGGCACUGUUUUGUCCCAUGGGCCCGCAUAUGUAGACCAAAGGAAUGGUGGGGUCUCGGCCUUCUCAACUUGACAAAUUUUGGGAUGGCACUUAGAUGUUGCUGGAAGUGGCUCGGAUGGAAUCCUGAGACUAGACCAUGGCAAUUUCUUUCUGAUCAGCAGGACAAAGAUUCCGCGGCCAUGUUCGAUGCUGCAAAUCGGGUGGUGUUGGGGUACGACACAGUUGCAAAAUUCUGGACUGAUAAUUGGGCCGCGGGAGGCAGGAGUAUCUCGGCCUUGGCCCCUGCCCUGUUUUCCUACGUUAAAGACUCCAAACUCUCAGUUAAAGAAGGAUUGCACAAUCACAGGUGGAUUAGGGACAUUAGAGGUGGUCUGUCUAUGCAGACACUAGCGCAAUACUUAGCGGUGUGGGAUAUCGCCCAGGCCACCACUCUUUCGGAUGAAACGGAGGAUCACCUCGUGUGGAGGCUGAUGGAGCAUCACUAG